CUCCCCUCCUCUCUCUGUUGUAUUGGUUUAGCAUGAAACAAUAUGAGGAGCAUACUGAACUGUACCAUCAAUCAAUCGGUUCGAGCUCUAGUAUCGGCACGGUAAAUCUUGCUCCACAAAAUCAAUCACACAAAGCAGCAUGAAUCAACUGCUAAACUAAAUAAUGAUAGGAAAAAAAAAAAACUCCAGCUUCAACAACUAAAGGACCUCAGAUAUGUUUGGAUGCCAGAAGAUCCUAUUGGUCCAUUAAGAUCUUCCUGGCCAUCAGGUCAUUUAAAAAAUACAAUGAAAGAAGCCACAACAUAAAGAGAUGGGACUCCCGGAGAUAGACUAAUCCAUAGUUUUCGCUAUAAGUUAUCACUUUUGAAUCGUGAUUAAUUUGGCUUAACCUAAAAAGGUAGUGUCACCGUGAAGUGCUCCAUCUUCCUUUCCCUUUCCAUAGCAACUGUUAAAAGAAAACCUUAUCGGCAAGAUCUUCGGCAGCCUGAAAGAAAAAAAAUGAAAAGACAAGAAGACAAGAACUUGAAGAAGAAUUGACUUGAGAAGAGAGAUUAAUGGUACAUAUCACAAUGCGGCGAGGGAACGAGUAGAUCCAACAAGGGCAACACAAGGUCAUAAUGUGAUGAUGCCAGAUUGUCAUUGGAGAGGUGCAAAGAGGGUUGAGGUGGGAAGUCAGAAGACUACCACAAAUCCCAGUGGAAGGAGAGAGAAAGAGAGAGAAGAGAGGAAGAAAGGCCAUGGAAAGGGGCACUUGGAGUCAUCUCUGGACUAUAGAAAAUGUGCGAAGCGUCAGGAUCGAAUGAACCCUAAG
rnacentral:lncRNA from 1 species